rnacentral:rRNA from 1 species
GACGGAAGGUGCAAGCGUUGCUCGGAAUCACUGGGCGUAAAGGGUGCGUAGGCGGCCGUGCAAGUCUGGCGUGAAAGCCCCGGGCUCAGCCCGGGAAGUGCGCUCGAAACUGCGCGGCUCGAGUGCCGGAGGGGAGAGUGGAAUUCCUGGUGUAGCGGUGAAAUGCGUAGAUAUUGGGAGGAACACCAGUGGCGAAGGCGGCUCACUGGACCGGUACUGACGCUGAGGCGCGAAAGCGUGGGGAGCAAACGGG